UACGUAGGGUGCGAGCGUUGUCCGGAAUUACUGGGCGUAAAGAGCUCGUAGGUGGUUUGUCGCGUUGUCCGUGAAAACUCACAACUCAAUUGUGGGCGUGCGGGCGAUACGGGCAGACUGGAGUACUGCAGGGGAGACUGGAAUUCCUGGUGGUAGCGGUGGAAUGCGCAGAUAUCAGGAGGAACACCGGUGGCGAAGGCGG
rnacentral:rRNA from 1 species